rnacentral:rRNA from 1 species
GAUGAACGCUGGCGGCGUGCCUAAUACAUGCAAGUCGAGCGAACAGAUGAGGAGCUUGCUCCUCUGACGUUAGCGGCGGACGGGUGAGUAACACGUGGAUAACCUACCUAUAAGACUGGGAUAACUUCGGGAAACCGGAGCUAAUACCGGAUAAUAUAUUGAACCGCAUGGUUCAAUAGUGAAAGACGGUUUUGCUGUCACUUAUAGAUGGAUCCGCGCCGCAUUAGCUAGUUGGUAAGGUAACGGCUUACCAAGGCAACGAUGCGUAGCCGACCUGAGAGGGUGCGCGCCCCCGGGGAACGAGAGACGGGCCCAAGCCUCCUGGGGGAGGAAGAAGUGGGAAAUCUCCGGAAGUGGGAGAAGUCCGGACGGAGCAACGCGGGGUGAGGGAUGAGGUUGUUGGUAUCAUAAAACUUUGUUAUGGGGAAAAAAAAAUUGUGUAAGUAAAUAGGCACGUUUGGAGGUUCCAAAAUAAGAAGCCCCCGCCAAACUCCGCC